ensembl:snRNA U1 U1 spliceosomal RNA
AUACUUACCUGGCAGGGGAGACACCAUGAUCAAGUAGGUGGUUCACCCAUUGCGAGGCUCGGCCAUUGCACUCUCGGCCGUGCUGACCAGUGUGAAUUCCCCAAAUGUGGGAAUCUCAACUGCAUAAUUUAUGGUAGUGGGGGACUGCGUUCGCGCUCUCCCCUG